CACGUAGGGCGCGAGCGUUGUCCGGAUUUAUUGGGCGUAAAGAGCGUGUAGGCGGCCGUACAGGUCAGCUGUGAAAACUCGAGGCUCAACCUCGAGACGUCGGUUGAAACCGUACGGCUAGAGUCCGGAAGAGGAGAGUGGAAUUCCCGGUGUAGCGGUGAAAUGCGCAGAUAUCGGGAAGAACACCCGUGGCGAAGGCGGCUCUCUGGGACGGUACUGACGCUGAGACGCGAAAGCGUGGGGAGCGAACAGG
rnacentral:rRNA from 1 species